UGCUCCAGACUGCACCCAGAAUUUUGGUUGGGGAAUUGCGAUUUAUCCGAGCCCUUUUCCCGGGUAUUAAAACGCUAUAAAUCUGCAGGCGGUCGCGCCGCUGCUGUUCUAUUACACGUCCUGUCUGCGCACGAGUGAAUUACAAAGCAAUUCAUCAGCGGGUGAAGGAGCCGGCGCCGGCACAAAUCCCGCACUCAUCCGCCGCGGCAGAAAGCAGGGAUUGUGUAAUCAGCGGGGGGGGGGAGCAGGCUGCAGCCUAAAGGGGAACUCCACCAACCAACCAAAUAGUCAAGGCCUAAUAGGGCGUGAUCUGCUGAUCCAGCCGGUUAUUUGCCUAGAAAUACGGAACACGCAUUGAACAGAUUGGACCAUUUUGGCUCCUUCCCUGUCUCUACUCCCUGCUCAAGCUGCGUCAAAUUUAUAAAGGGACAGACAUAGCUUUAAUAAACGCCACAAAUACCUCUGCUUUUUACCAAGACGUUGUAACACAUUGAUACAUGACCCCCCCCAAUUCUGCAUUCAUUUGUAGAUGAUGGGAGUAGUACCUCUGCCUAGAAGCCAAAGUAGACGUUUCCCCUUUAAGUAUUUGGUCUGACGGUCUGUUUCUUUGAUCUAUGAUGACAUCAGAGGAUCCCGUCCUGCAGCCGUCAUCGCCUGGCGCCAGCCUGGAAGACACGGAAGAGGACGCAGGUACCACCCAGCCGACGGGGGCGAGAUGUAGAGUAGACCCGUAGUUCUCGUGCCUGUGAAGCACCCUGGAUUUCUCCGACUCCUCCAUUGCUAGAACCUAAGCUACAGCGUCAGGAACAUCCAGAAAGAAUACGAGCUAACCCGCCGAUCCACAGAGAGCCAUCAUCGCCCGCCAAGAAACGCCCGAAAACAGGUAUCGUGACCCCGCAGGAGCCCGACAGAUAGGCGUGUUGUGUUACGUGAUGUGGACGCGCCCCUAGUGAUUAGCAUAGCGCAAUAAUCGUAUCUGAUUUCUCCAUAUUUAAGAGUCCUCCAAGGUCCUCCUUCGCCCUGAACCAACGCCGGCCUACGUCACCGUCACCUUCAAGAGACCAAAAGGUACCAAUCAGACCAAAGUCUGUCCUGGGAAGGAGACCCCAUUGGGGCAUAUGCAGGUGCCCCAUAGUUUUACAUGGAGCAGGGCACAUCUGUGGAGGCUCGUUGGUGGCCCCUCACAGUGAAUUACUGGGGGUCUCGUCACUGGUUCUUUCCAUUACUAACCCUAACCCUUUCUGGACAUUUUAACAUGGAGUUUACCGGGGGACCUGCAUCAUGAUGUUGCCCCUCCAAGAACCUCGAUGCUUGAGAAGAUCCAGGCGGUCUUUGAGCCGUGUAACAAGUGAUCUCCAGGAUGUUACCCCUGGAUCCACACGAUGAGUUCUCCAUCAUGGGGGGAAAAACCUGGCAUGGAGCCCACAUAAUCCAUUCCUGGUUUCUUCCUCCAACAUUAUGUCCUACAUGGUGACAAGCCAU